rnacentral:rRNA from 1 species
CCAAUAGCGUAUAUUAAAGUUGUUGCAGUUAAAAAGCUCGUAGUUGAAUUUCGGGAUCAAAGAAUCGGUCAUGCCUUGGUAUGUACUGGUUUUAUUGGUUCUCACCUUCUAAAGAACCAUAAUGUCAUUCAUUUGAUGUUAUGGGGAAUUAGGACUGUUACCUUGAAAAAAUUAGAGUGUUUAAAGCAGGCUUACGCUUGAAUACAUUAGCAUGGAAUAAUGAAAUAGGACAUCAGAUUCUAUUUUGUUGGUUUCUAGGAUCGAUGUAAUGAUUAAUAGGGAUAGUUGGGGGCAUUAGUAUUCAAUUGUCAGAGGUGAAAUUCUUGGAUUUAUUGAAGACUAACUACUGCGAAAGCAUUUGCCAAGGAUGUUUUCAUUAAUCAAGAACGAAAGUUAGGGGAUCGAAGACGAUCAGAUACCGUCGUAGUCUUAACCAUAAACUAUGCCGACUAGGGAUCGGAUGAUGUUAAUUUUAUAAUGACUCAUUCGGCACCUUACG